rnacentral:tRNA from 2 species
GGGGCCGUGGUGGAAUGGCAGACACGAAAGUCUUAAAAACUUUUGCCUUCACGGGCGUGUGGGUUCGAGUCCCACCGGCCUCA